UACGAAGGGGGCUAGCGUUGCUCGGAAUCACUGGGCGUAAAGCGCACGUAGGCGGCUUUCUAAGUCAGGGGUGAAAUCCUGGAGCUCAACUCCAGAACUGCCUUUGAUACUGGAGAGCUAGAGUCCGGAAGAGGUGAGUGGAACUGCGGGUGUAGAGGUGAAAUUCGUAGAUAUUCGCAAGAACACCAGUGGCGAAGGCGGCUCACUGGCCCGGUACUGACGCUGAGGUGCGAAAGCGUGGGGAGCAAACAGG
rnacentral:rRNA from 1 species